CCAAUAGCGUAUAUUAAAGUUGUUGCAGUUAAAAAGCUCGUAGUUGAAUUUCGGGAUUAGUACGUCGGUCGUGCCUUCGGUACGUACUGGUGUUACUGAUUCCUACCUUCUGACGAACCAUCAUGUCAUUAAUUUGGUGUGGCGGGGAAUCAGGACUGUUACUUUGAAAAAAUUAGAGUGUUUAAAGCAGGCUCGCGCUUGAAUACAUUAGCAUGGAAUAAUGAAAUAGGACGUUGACCCUAUUUUGUUGGUUUCUAGGAUUGACGUAAUGAUUGAUAGGGAUAGUUGGGGGCAUUAGUAUUCAAUUGUCAGAGGUGAAAUUCUUGGAUUUAUUGAAGACUAACUACUGCGAAAGCAUUUGCCAAGGAUGUUUUCAUUAAUCAAGAACGAAAGUUAGGGGAUCGAAGACGAUCAGAUACCGCCGUAGUCUUAACCAUAAACUAUGCCGACUAGGGAUCGGAUGAUGUUAUUUUUAAUGACUCAUUCGGCGCCUUACG
rnacentral:rRNA from 1 species